GUCCUUUUGAUUAAUAAUUUAAGGUCUCGCCUGCCCACUGAAAUUUUAAAUGGCCGUGGUAUUUUGACCGUGCUAAGGUAGCAUAAUCAUUAGUUUCUUAAUUAGGAACUGGAAUGAAAGGUUGGAUAAGAAAAUAGCUGUCUCUAUUAAAAUUAAUUAGAAUUUUAUUUUUAAGUUAAAAAGCUUAAUUAAUAUUAAAAGACGAGAAGACCCUAUAGAGUUUAAUUAUUGUUUAAAAUUUAUAUUUUAGUAUUAAAUUAUAAAUUUUAUAGAAUAAUUUAAUUGGGGUGAUUGAAAAAUUUACUAAACUUUUUUUAUUUUAUAACAUUAAUUUAUGAUUAAAUGAUCCGAUACUUUCGAUUAUAAGAUUAAAUUACCUUAGGGAUAACAGCGUAAUUUUUUUUGAAAGUUCAUAUUAAAAAAAGAGAUUGCGACCUCGAUGUUGGAUUAAAAUAAAUUUCUGGUGUAGAAGCUUGAAUAUUGGGUCUGUUCGACCCUUAAAAUUUUAC
rnacentral:rRNA from 1 species